GUCCACGCCGUAAACGAUGAGUACUAGGUGUAGGGGGUAUCGACCCCCUCUGUGCCGAAGCUAACGCGAUAAGUACUCCGCCUGGGGACUACGGCCGCAAGGCUAAAACUCAAAGGAAUUGACGGGGGCCCCGCACAAGCAGCGGAGCGUGUGGUUUAAUUCGAUGAUACGCGAAGAACCUCACCCAGGUUUGACAUGCAUGUGGUACUGAUGUGAAAGCUGAGGGACCCUUCGGGGAGCAUGCACAGGUGUUGCACGGCCGUCGU
rnacentral:rRNA from 1 species